rnacentral:rRNA from 1 species
UACAGAGGUCUCAAGCGUUGUUCGGAUUCAUUGGGCGUAAAGGGUGCGUAGGCGGCGCGGUAAGUCGGGUGUGAAAUCUUGGAGCUUAACUCCGAAACUGCAUUCGAUACUGCCGUGCUUGAGGACUGGAGAGGAGACUGGAAUUUACGGUGUAGCGGUGAAAUGCGUAGAUAUCGUAAGGAAGACCAGUGGCGAAGGCGGGUCUCGUGGACAGUUCCUUGACGCUGAGGCACGAAGGCCCAGGGGGAGCAAACGGGG